rnacentral:rRNA from 1 species
UCGAGAAUCAUUCACAAUGGGCGAAAGCCUGAUGGUGCGACGCCGCGUGGAGGAUGAAGGCCUUCGGGUCGUAAACUCCUGUCAUCAGAGAGUAAAAGCCUGCCGUUAAUAGCGGCAGGUCUUGAUAGUAUCUGAAGAGGAAGGGACGGCUAACUUCGUGCCAGCAGCCGCGGUGACACGUAGGGUCCAAGCGUUGUCCGGAUUUAUUGGGCGUAAAGAGCUCGUAGGCGGGUUAGUAAGUCGGGGGUU